CAGGCACCUCGAGAAGCAGGCCCCGACCGCUCGCCGACGAAGCCUCGUCCGGGCCUCCUGGGAGCGGGGUGGCAGGUACCGUGGCGCCUCCUCGCGUUGGUCUUGCUGGUUCUCGGCCCCCGAAGCGGAGCGACGGAGACACAGCUGUGGAAGCAUCUGGAUCCGCUGCCCAGGUCCCCGAGCUUCCCGGAACCCGAGGCCGCAGGACACUGAAGGCUGCCAUUCCCGAGUAGGUCACGCUGGACGCCACCCUAAGCUGGGCCCAGAGGCUCCCGUCCAGGAGGGCUGCAGUCGGCGCAGACACCGCGCGUGUGGAGACGGGAGACCCAUCCUCCUCGGCCGUUCCGAGAGUAGGCGCGGCCGGUCAGAUUCGAUGCAGAGCCGAAUGCGGGAGAAAGGGCAAAACGUACCUCAAACCAGACAAAGCCUUGUGAGCUUCAGGUAAGUGAGUGCAGUAAAGACCGGUAAGGCCCACGCAGAAGAAACACUGAGGAAAGAAGACACUUCCAAAGUAACAAAUGGGAGGAAGCAGCCAACGCCCGAGGACAACAUGGCAAGAAGGAGCCUUUGGAUUCCGGACUGGGAUGGAAAGAGAGUUGAUUGAAUCCCGGAAUUUGGAAACCCCAGAUACGGAGGGCGGACGGUACAACCGGAGCUGUCAGGUGGAUUUCCAAGGCUUUGCAUUGGCUGUACCUGAAACUUAUGGUGGCCUAGACUCCCCAGUAUCCACUCUUCCUUAUCUUGGUAAACAAGCCCAGUUCUGAGUCACAUCCCUGCUCUGCCUACUUACAGGGGCAUGUGGUCCCAAUCUAAGCAACGUAGCAUAAUUCCAACCUAAAUCAGCAGAAUCCCAUUCCCUGCCACAGUUAUUGGCUGGCAAUGAGCGUAACAUAUUUGGGCCAAUGAGAGGAGCAAUUUCCUGGUCUUUGUUGGGAAAAGUUUUUCUUUCAUUUUCUGAGAGCGCUUCAGAGGUAACCCAUUCUUUCUGCAUGUCCUCAAAAAAACGGGUCCCCUGGAUGGUGGGUAGCCAUCUUCCAAAUACAAGUCUAGCCGGGUUAGGCUGGAGUGCAAUGGUGCAAUCUCAAGCUCACUGCAACCUCUGUGCAGGUUCAAGUGGAGAAUCUGAAUCUUGAUGAUAUAAUUGGAACUCUUCAGCCAAGCCAUAUCUAACAGAACUAUCUUCAACUUUUCAGAUCCUUUGCAUUUCCACAUGAAUUUUAUUAUCAGCCUG
rnacentral:lncRNA from 10 species